UACGUAGGGUGCAAGCGUUGUCCGGAAUUAUUGGGCGUAAAGAGCUCGUAGGCGGUUUGUCGCGUCUGCUGUGAAAACUCGGGGCUUAACCCCGGGCCUGCAGUGGGUACGGGCAGACUAGAGUGCGGUAGGGGAGACUGGAAUUCCUGGUGUAGCGGUGAAAUGCGCAGAUAUCAGGAGGAACACCGAUGGCGAAGGCAGGUCUCUGGGCCAUAACUGACGCUGAGGGACGAAAGCUAGGGGAGCGAAAGGG
rnacentral:rRNA from 1 species